UACGUAGGGGGCAAGCGUUGUCCGGAAUCAUUGGGCGUAAAGAGCGUGUAGGCGGCCAUACAGGUCCGUUGUGAAAACUGGAGGCUUAACCUCCAGACGUCGAUGGAAACCGUAUGGCUAGAGUACGGAAGAGGCGAGUGGAAUUCCUGGUGUAGCGGUGAAAUGCGCAGAUAUCAGGAGGAACACCAAUUGCGAAGGCAGCUCGCUGGGACGUAACUGACGCUGAGACGCGAAAGCGUGGGGAGCAAACAGG
rnacentral:rRNA from 1 species